rnacentral:rRNA from 1 species
CUGGGUGGAUGAGUGGCGAACGCGGUGAGUAAUACGUGAGUAACCUGCCCUUGACUCUGGGAUAAGCCUGGGAAACUGGGUCUAAUACUGGAUACGACAUGUCACCGCAUGGUGGCGUGUGGAAAGGGUUUUACUGGUUUUGGAUGGGCUCACGGCCUAUCAGCUUGUUGGUGGGGUAAUGGCUCACCAAGGCGACGACGGGUAGCCGGCCUGAGAGGGUGACCGGCCACACUGGGACUGAGACACGGCCCAGACUCCUACGGGAGGCAGCAGUGGGGAAUAUUGCACAAUGGGCGAAAGCCUGAUGCAGCGACGCCGCGUGAGGGAUGACGGCCUUCGGGUUGUAAACCUCUUUCAGCACGGAAGAAGCGAAAGUGACGGUACGUGCAGAAGAAGCGCCGGCUAACUACGUGCCAGCAGCCGCGGUAAUACGUAGGGCGCAAGCGUUGUCCGGAAUUAUUGGGCGUAAAGAGCUCGUAGGCGGUUUGUCGCGUCUGCUGUGAAAGCCCGGGGCUUAACCCCGGGGUGUGCAGUGGGUACGGGCAGACUUGAGUG